UCUAAAACAUCUUGCCACCAGUGAAAGCCGAACCCACAACCUCCCUAUAUGUGGGUUCGGCAACUUCUGCAGGGCAGGGCAAAAUGAACAGUGCCGUGGCUGCUACCAGGUGUCCCACAACGCUGGCGUAGGGGGCCUUUACGCACUCGAGCGUAGACCCGCGCAUGUGUCGCGCAUGUGCCGUCGAACGGGAACGCGCAGGACAAAGGCGGCGUAAAUGAGCCUCGAGCUCCUGUGUAAUUGCUGACGCAAUUAAAAAGAAAGCCGCACUUUCGCCCGAAAGGCGCAGCACCGAUUGCGGUAGCCAAUUAAUAGACAAAGUAUAGGAUAUAUUAGUUAUAUCGGCCGUACAAACUUGCAAACAUUCGCUUCCUAACUAAAUUAACAAGCAUGGUGUCGGCGCGCACAGGCAAACAUGAACACAUCACACUUGAUGAGCGCGGAAAAACGCUGGAAUGGGGAAACGCGGCAACAGCAGUGAGCGAAGUAACCUUCGUGCUGUCUAUCGCUUCAGCGUAAACUGAGCGGCGAGAACGCAGCACGCACAAAGGUAUGAGCCAUCGAAGCGCCUAGACUCUGCCCUCAAUAACAUAGAUCGCUUUCAAGAUAUGGCGCGCGUGGCCGCGAAUUAAGCAGUUGCUGUCGGAGUACACCACCUCCCUCCUUUCCCCGGAACCUAGCGCGCGACUGAAGACGGCGCGCUUCCUUCCCGUUUUCCUCCCUUGCGUGCACUAGAUUGAGCUUCCCUCGCACGCUUUCUCUCGCACAUACAGCAUACGGCGCGCGCACGGCGACAGUGUUAUCGCCCUUGGACUUUAUACGGAACUUCACGGCGACGCUGAUGGCAAAAACGCGCCUGGAGUGUCGAUAUAAUAGUCAUUGCAAUAAAAAAAAAAAAGCCAUCGACAAUGAUUGUCAAUAGAGAGGUUUAGCUUGUCCGGCAAUCGGGUGAACGCAGGCGGACCAGCGGAGGCGUAAACGUGAGUGGCCUGUAUGGUGCUGCCGCCUGGUGGCACAGAUAUCAGACAGACAAAAGCAGCUAAUAUUGCAGGAACCAAGUCUAUUCUACUUUGCUGCUGGUGUAAAUUUUCUGCAGCAACACGAUUACGCCACUGCCGAAAAUUUGCACCAGCAGCGAAGUAGAAUACACUUGGUUACUGCAAUAUUAGCUGCUUUCGUCUGUCUGAUAUCUGUGCCACCAGGUGGCAGCACCAUACAGGCCACUCACGUUUACGCCUCCGCCCCAACGCUCGGUCCGCCUGCGUUUACCCGAUUACUGAACAAUUAAGCUAAACCUCUCUAAUGUAAUAGCCCGAGCGAGCGAGCGACAGUCCCGCCUUCCUCCCGACAGUGCCGCCUUCUCGCGGCGAGCGAGCGACAGCCUAGUAGGUGUUGGCGACAGCUCCUCUCCUCCUCUCUGCCCCUCCCGGCAACUCCGGCUGCGCUACAGUGUACUAGAGUAGGCUGCGCGUG